UGCAGGGCCUUAUGGGACUGAAACGGUUUUUGUUGGAUAUCAAAUCCACAAAAGGCGUGUUAACUUGUAGCCCCUCAAAAAAAUGAUCUUUCUGCCAAUGCGGUUCUUUCAAGGCAGUAAGAUGAUUUUUCCGACAUGUCACAUUUACGUUAUGAUUUUUCAAAAAAAUUACUUUGGGGGGAACCAAUAGCGAUUAGCCUGCCCUCACGUGACGUCUGUGUUACACGACUCGUUGAGUUGGGCAAGGUUGGGCAGUCGUGUGUGUUAAGAGCGUCUCAAAAGUUGGCUAAACAGCAGUUCGACCUUUUUUAGAGUUUAUUUUGAUGUACAAUUAAGACUAGCAACGUGGCAGCCUUGAGUUUGAGCAGACUACGAAGUCUCGGCUGUGAGCUGUCAGAAAAAGUGUCGAGUCCAGAUUUGUAAUGCGAUCAAAUUCGGACUUUUCUCAUAUAUUUUGGAUUUGGUUUACAUGACACCCAAUAUAAUUGGAAAUGACCAAAACUUGUUUUGUUUUGUCAUUGUCAUUUGAAUUGCUAUUGCACACCCCAAACCAACCAUAACAUGGUGAAAUUGAACUACUGGGGGAGAAAUCAUCUUUAUGGAAUAUUGCUAAAUAAGUUAGGUACAAUAAUAAAAAUGAUUAUAUCAGCAAAUGAUGCAUCAAACAUAAAAUUAAUUUUUACCAUUGAAAGUGCCUCUUUAAUUUCAUCUCUAAGAAUUUCUUUGCUUGUAGUUACAGUGUUUACCCAAAUGAUUGUGAAGUGUGGAGGAGUCUUUAAAUGUUUCACAAACAUUUCUUUUGAAAUGGGUUUUUCAUGUUCAUUCUUCAAUUCAGACAUACACAAUAUAAAUUCCAUGCUAAUUAACAGAUUUAUAAAAAUUCCAGAAAAUCAAAAAUGUUCAUUAUUAACUAAUUGGAUUUCGAGAAUGAUAAACAAUACUAAAAUAUGAUUAAUAAUUCAUGUAACAUGAAUACCCAUUUACUCAUGUUGUGUUUGGGCUAAAUGAAUUUAUACACCUACACAUUUUUUUAACACACCCGGGAGAUAUAAUAUUAUACGUGAAU
rnacentral:lncRNA from 1 species